rnacentral:lncRNA from 1 species
UGGAUGAUUCAUGGACCUCCACAAGUCAAUACAAUGAAAUUGGAUGGGUUUGGAAGGAUAGCAUAGGAAAGAUCCGAUUAAUGGGGACACAAAACCUAAGGAGGCAUGAGACAGCACUUCACUCAGAACUGGAAGCGCUAAGAUGGACAAUGGAGAGCAUGCUACAACAUUCGACAUGUCAGGAAUUUGAGACAAAUUGCAAGGACCUGAUUGCAAUGAUAACGGACCCACAAGCUUGGCCAAACUUCUCAACUGAGCAGGAGGUCAUUCAAAUUCUCCAGAUGUGUUUUUCCGACUUCAAGAUCAGCUACUUCCCAAGGGCGCAAAGUGAAAUUGAUGAUUCACUAGCUAGGAAUGCCCGUUCUUUGAUACCAAAUGACCAAAACCUCCUAAGGAGUCGGCACUCUAAGUUGGUAAAGGGGAGAAGCAUUGCUGCUAUGAAACCGUAGAGUUUCAAAGGCAAGGGAUAUGGAGUGAAUGGUCGCACGAAGGAUGCAGAAGGCCUUCAAUAUUCCAACUCAAUGCCCUAAGAUAUGACACACCAAGAAGGAUCAAAAAGAUCAAUGGAUAUUUCACACCAUUGAAAGAAAAGUGAGAAUCACUCUCAAGGUUCCAAAAAUAAUCACUCAAAAGCUUAUUUUAUUCCAUUAGAGAUUACAACUUAUUUAUAGGAAACUAAAAUUGUUGAGAAAGCUAUAUAAUUAAUACAUAGGAAAUCACAAAACAGUGCAUGGAGGAGAGAGAUGGUUCUUGGAAGAAGCAAUCCUUGCAUACAUGAGAGAGAAGCUUUUCAUGCAAUUUAGUUUUUGAUUUUCGUCACUUUUUUUGGACAGCAAAGAAACCACUUGAUUUUGAUUUUUUUUUUGCCUUGUAACUCCAUAAAAUAGGCUGGACAUGUUACCUAACAUCAUGGAUUUAUUUCUAAAUAUUUUCCUUGUCCAUAACUUCAUAAAUCAGCCUAAGAUCACAUCAUACUCCUCCUCUUAAAAAACAUUUGUCCUCAAAUCUUGCUCUAUAGAGAAAGAAAACUUGAAUACACACUUCCAAAAGAUCCAACAGAUUUGUUGAACAUAAAUGUAUAAAACUUUUUUUUCUUUGUAGAAGAUGGAUAGAUAAGAAUGAUGGAUAUAGAAGUGAAUACCAAACUUAAAGUGUUGCUUUGAUACCAAAUGACCAAAACCUCAUGAGGAGUCGUCACUCUAAGUUGGUAAAGGGGAGAAGCCUUGUUGCUAUGAAACCGUAAAGUUUUAAAGGCAAGGGAUGCGGAGUGAAUGGUCGCACGAAGGAUGCAUAAGGCCUUCAAUAUUCCAACUCAAUGCCAUAAGAUAUGACACACCAAGACGGAUCAAAAAGAUCAAAGGAUAUUUCAUACCAUUGAAAGAAAAGUGAGAAUCACUCUCAAAGUUCCAAAAAUAAUCACUCAAAAGCUUAUUUUAUUCCAUUAGAGAUUACAACUUAUUU